GAACGCUGGCGGCAUGCCUAACACAUGCAAGUCGAACGAGCCCUUCGGGUCUAGUGGCGCCCGGGUGCGUAACGCGUGGGAACCUGCCCUUAGGUUCGGAAUAACUCCCCGAAAGGGGUGCUAAUACCGGAUAAUGUCUUCGGACCAAAGAUUUAUCGCCUUUGGAUGGGCCCGCGUUGGAUUAGCUAGUUGGUAGGGUAAAAGCCUACCAAGGCGACGAUCCAUAGCUGGUCUGAGAGGAUGAUCAGCCACACUGGGACUGAGACACGGCCCAGACUCCUACGGGAGGCAGCAGUGGGGAAUAUUGGACAAUGGGCGAAAGCCUGAUCCAGCAAUGCCGCGUGAGUGAUGAAGGCCUUAGGGUUGUAAAGCUCUUUUACCCGGGAUGAUAAUGACAGUACCGGGAGAAUAAGCUCCGGCUAACUCCGUG
rnacentral:rRNA from 1 species